AACGCACAUUGCGCCCCUCGGUAUUCCGGGGGGCAUGCCUGUUCGAGCGUCAUUACAACCAUCAAGCACAGCUUGGCAAUGGGCCCAUCGUCCGGCAACGUCCUCCACGGGACGCGCCGGGCGUGCCCCAAAACUGUCGGCAGAGUCACGCGGACCCGCCGGGCGUAGCAGAAAAGGAAGGCGAGAGCCGACCCCUCACGUCCAAUGGCGACCGCGCCCCGCGCCGUAAAGCCAGGCCCGCAAGGGCCGCCCACCACAAGGUUGACCUCGGAUCAGGUAGGGAUACCCGCUGAACUUAA
rnacentral:misc_RNA from 2 species